CUCCAGACCCGGGGUGCGCGGGGAAAACUGAGAGCCGGACCCAAGACACCACGCGGCAUCACCUCCGACAUAACCUCGGUCACAACAUGGCAUACAUUCCCACACCAUUUCGCAUCACGACUCAGAACUGCAGAGGCCUAAAUACAGCCGAAAGACGCUCUCAUCUCCUACGAGAACUUGCGCGAGAGCAGGUCUCUAUUGCCAUGUUACAGGAAACACAUCUUAAACCUACGGACACACACAGACUGAAGAGCAGACACUUCCCAGACAACUAUCACAG